AAUGAUGAUAACAUAGUUCAGCAGACUAACACUGAUGAGCAAUAUUAAGUCUUUCGCUCCUAUCUGAUGUAUCUGGCGGUAACAUUCUAGUUUAUGCCCUGAAAAGGGGAAUAUAGCCAUUCUAUAACGUUUGGAGAUUUUGGAUUACUCCUAAUUGUAUGCAAGUUGUCUUACUGUGUAUUGUCCCUUAAUUUCAGGACUCAGAAUUCAUGCUUGAAGAAAUGCAGGCAGACCUGUUAUCCUAAACUAGGGUUUUUAAUGACCACGACAAGCAAGCAUGCAGCUUACUGCUUGAAAGGUGAGGAUUGUAAAUGUUGGGACUAUUAUAAUCGCAGAAUACAUGAUGAUCUCAAUCCAACUUGAACUCUCUCACUGAUUACUUGAUGACAAUAAAAGAUCUGAUAUUCUGCAUUCCCAUGUAGCAUUUUAAUUGAAGUCUGUAAAUGUGGCUAAAAGUCUUAUUUUUUGAGACAGGGUCUUGCCUCACCCAAGCUGGAGUGCAGUGGCCUCUGAAGCUUACUACAGCCUCAAACUUCUGGGCUCAAGUGAUCCUCAGCCUCCCAAUGGUCU
rnacentral:sRNA from 1 species